rfam:Shigella dysenteriae Sd197, complete genome.
AGCCGGAUAAGGCGCUCGCGCCGCAUCCGGCAACGAUGCCGACUGCCUGAUGCGACGCUGACCGCGUCUUAUCAGGCU